rnacentral:lncRNA from 1 species
UUCACUGUUUUCUCGUUUCAAUAUUUCUUAGCAUCUAGCAUAGUACUAUUACCGCAAUAGGUAGCCAUACAUAAAGUACACGUCUAGUGUUUCUAUUACCUUCUGUAAAUGUUUCUAUGGAAACAGAUCUCCCGUUCUGCCUGAUAUAUUCCGGUUCUUGCGUACCGAGUUAAGAAACGGAACUAAGUUGUUUCAGGUAUUUUAUGGAUGGUUGUUAAAUGAAUCAUUUUGAUACUAUUUGUAAAG